UACGUAGGGAGCAAGCGUUGUCCGGAAUUACUGGGUGUAAAGGGAGCGUAGGCGGGAUUGCAAGUCAAGUGUCAAAUCUAUCGGCUUAACCGAUAGCCGCGCUUGAAACUGCAGUUCUUGAGUGAAGUAGAGGCAGGCGGAAUUCCUAGUGUAGCGGUGAAAUGCGUAGAUAUUAGGAGGAACACCAGUGGCGAAGGCGGCCUGCUGGGCUUUUACUGACGCUGAGGCUCGAAAGCAUGGGGAGCAAA
rnacentral:rRNA from 1 species